UGGUCAGUGUGUAGAUGUAGCUCCCGGUGUGUGUGUGUGUGUGACAGGAGAAUGGGAAUAUAAGCAGCAUGUGACAAUAUGCCUUUGUGAUCCUGUGUGCUUCAGUGGCUGGCUGUGUCAAGGAGUAUUUGUGAGGAAACCAGGAGCCAGAGCUUUGGCAUCUGCUCUCCUAAGAAGAAUGAAGGUCAGAAGGGGGAUGGGGGCAGCCUGAGGGAGGAGAGGGUGAGGAAGCCUAUCACCUUCAGCCCCCAGCCAUCAGGCUCUGAGGCUGUCGGAGGCAGCAGCUGCCAGAGGGCACCCACCACCUCAGUUUGGGUGGUCCUCUGCCAGGACUUCCUGGAGGCUGAGAACACUGGGCUCUAGGACCAGAGCCGUGGCAUAGCCUGCAGCAGAGGUCUGGGAUAGGGGAGCACUCUACUUCUGCUUUUCGGUCUGUCGCUCUGCCAUAGUCUAUAGUGCCUGCUAUAUGCCAAGGAGGUGCCCAGCUGUGAGAGAUGAUGGGGCUCCGAAACAGGGUCUCAUCGUAACAUUAACUACAUCAGAAGGCACUUUCGGUGAAUUGUAGAGAGGCCUCUGGACACUGAUAACAGCUCCCUGGGAAGCAGCACAGAGGAGAUGGCAGGCGGGUGGAGGACGUGGUGGUGCCCUGGGACUGCUGGCACAGGUGCAGGAGCUCAGGCCCAGCCAGGGAAUCAAGAGGAAUCCUGGGACAGACCAGAAAGGGAGGACUGUAAAGGAGCCUGUUUUUCCUGCUACUCUUAGAUACUGGAUCUCAAAUAAGCAGUUUGGGAGAGGAAGGAUGGACUGAGUGCUGGGGCCUAAGACUGGACUGCCUUCUAGCCCCAGGAAAAGUGGAAUCUACCUCCUACCCAGCCAUCUCUUUUCUCUGCCUCACCUGACCCAGAGUAGUAAGCCCAGAGCUGAGAUUUGCAACUUUUGGAAAACACACAAAAACCCUGGCCAGUGUUACCAUGUCAAUGACAA